GACCUAAGUGGUUAGAGCAUCUGCCUCUGAUGCGGAGGUGGGUCGUGGGUUCGAACCCCGAGUGAGCCA